rnacentral:rRNA from 1 species
CCGUAACUAUAACGGUCCUAAGGUAGCGAAAUUCCUUGUCGGGUAAGUUCCGACCCGCACGAAAGGCGUAAUGAUUUGAGCGCUGUCUCGACAAUGCACCCGGUGAAAUUGAAAUACCAGUGAAGAUGCUGGUUACCUGCGCCAGGACGGAAAGACCCCAUGGAGCUUUACUCCAGCUUGAUACUGGGAUUCGGUACUGCAUGUACAGGAUAGGUGGGAGACUGAGAACUAUGAACGCCAGUUUGUAGGGAGUCGCUGUUGGGAUACCACCCUUGCGGUAUUGGAUUUCUAACCUGCAGCCGUGAACCGGCUGGGGGACAAUGUCAGGCGGGGAGUUUGACUGGGGCGGUCGCCUCCGAAAGGGUAUCGGAGGCGCUCAAAGGUUCCCUCAUAAUGGUUGGAAACCAUUAGAAGAGUGCAAAGGCAUAAGGGAGCUUGACUGCGACACCGACGGGUGGAGCAGGUAGGAAACUAGGACUUAGUGAUCCGGUGGUAUGAAAGUGGGAUUGCCAUCGCUCAACGGAUAAAAGCUACCCUGGGGAUAACAGGCUUAUCACUCCCAAGAGUUCACAUCGACGGAGUGGUUUGGCACCUCGAUGUCGGCUCAUCGCAUCCUGGGGCUGUAGCAGGUCCCAAGGGUUGGGCUGUUCGCCCAUUAAAGCGGUACGCGAGCUGGGUUCAGAACGUCGUGAGACAGUUCGGUCCCUAUCUGUCGUGGGCGCAGGAUAUUUGAAAGGCGCUGUCCCUAGUACGAGAGGACCGGGAUGGACGAACCUCUGGUGCACCAGUUGUCACGCCAGUGGCACAGCUGGGCAGCUAUGUUCGGAUCGGAUAAACGCUGAAAGCAUCUAAGCGUGAAGCCGGCCUUAAGAUAAGAUAUCCCACUGAGUCAAUCAGGUAAGACCCCUUGAAGACUACAAGGUUGAUAGGCACACAGUGUAAGCGGAGUGAUCCGUUCAGCUAGCGUGUACUAAUAGGUCGAGGGCUUGACCCC